CACACUACCUGCCACCACCUUUUUCGUUUUUUGUUCCUUAGGUUAGGCUGACCUCUGCCUACCAUCGGGCCUCCUGAACAGACACCCACUGUCACUCCGCAAGCUCGUGAUGAGUCGACCAGCAGCAAGAACUGGCCAACCUCUGCCAGUGUGUGUGCACUUUCUGCCGGUGGUGCCCUGCAGCGCACCCGUGCCGUCCCCCCUGGAGCAGAGCAGCUGCGUCCCGGCGGCAGCUCCAAGGUAUAUACACUCGUGGAUAUGAAAAAUGAGUUGUACUCAACUGCGUGGGCUUCGGAAAUAUGUCUUCAGUUGAACUAUUUGACGCCCUGCUUUUCCAUCUUUGUCCUGCAGUUUUUGAAGAAACUCUUCCUGCAGGUUUCUUUAUGGCCUGCAGAGAUCAAAUCUAAAAUGCAUCACAGCUCAGUCCCAAGCCUUACUUGACUAUAGUCCUAUUAAUCUGAUAUUUGCUUAUUUUAAAUUAAGGUGAAAGAACAAGGGAAGACUGAUUUCUUAUCCCUAUGAAGUUUACUUCUGUCCAUUCAGUGGUCUGAGUGAUUGUUUUGUGUCUAGUGACACACUUGAGUGUUUUAAUACAAAGCAUAGGUCAGGGUGCCUAGCUUCUGGACAGCAUGUCUCUUUUCAUCCAGGUGACAGGUAACUUCAGAUCUGUCACUUUCCCAGUCUGACAGCCAUUGUCCUUGCCUCCAGCCAGUCCUAAUAUAGAUGCUAUUAUAAAACUAACACCCUGUGGCUAGCUCCCUUGUUCAGACUGAGUUAUUUCAGGCUUAACAGCAUGGCAUAAGCCAGUUUAUCUAGUAGGCUUCUUGUGCCUAUAUAUCUGUCCUAAAUUCCUCAGAGCAAAAUGGAGCUACUCAGCCUUUCCCCUUUUCAUUUACUACAUCCAUGAUACAUCCCCAUCCCUACGGCACAGUAGACCUAGAAAAUGGAAAAAUGCGGAAGGGGAAAAGAAUGUGUGUUAAACCACAUGUUCUGUAUAGUCUCCAUAGUCUAUAUUUUUAAAAUUACCUUUCACAUUAGUCAUUAUCAUGCUUUAUAGAUGAUAAAACUUAAAGAUGAGUGAGUUACGAUCAAGCAGCUAAUAAAAGGUGAAACCCAGAUUAUGAUACAGAUUUGUCUGACUUUUCAUUAUAAAGGAUUUUGCUUAUGAAAGUAAACUGAGGAAAUGCACCUUUAUAAGUUUUUUUUUUUUUUUUUAAAGAUUAUUUAUUUGAGAGAGAGAGAGCACAUGCAUGCAGAGUGGGAGGGAGAGGGAAGGACCAGGACAGGCAGACUCAAUGCUAAAUUCAGAGCCCAACGUGGGGCUCAAUCUCAGGACCCUGAGAUCAUGCCUGAGGUGAAACCGAGAAUCAGGCACUUAACCAACUGAGGCACCAGACACCCUAAUAUAAGCUGUUUUUUAAAAUAAGCUGUUUUAAUUUCAUCUACAACCAGUAUCCUCACUCUGUUUUAACGGUUAACCACUUUUGGAUUACCACUAGAGACAAUUCAUAAAAUAGGAUUAUGGGUAGGAAUUAGAGAGGUUUUAUAAAACAGAAUUUGAGAAGGAAAUCCUGAGAAUCUGCAGAUACUAAACAAUGACUAGCACAGUGGGGGAUUUUCCAAGUCUGAUGUUACUUUACAUAUGCCUUGUAGAUUUUCUCCAUUUACUAGUUACUAGUCAGGAUACAAGUGGACCUCGAGGGCUUGCUGCAAUUGACAAGUUUUUUUCUUUUUAUGGGGACAUGGAUUGUUUAAUGAAGUAUAGUUAAAAAGUACACCUCAGUGAUAAGCCUUUAAAAAAACAAGCAUAAAACAAAAGUUCUAAAGUCAUGAACAAUGCAAAGUAAGCUUUAAAGGUUAAAAUCCCAGCAAAUAUGAAAUCACCGAAACAGGCAACAGCAUGAUUCCCCCACCCCCGACCCCACUGCACCCCCCCGGGCCCUCCAAGUUGGAGAAUAGUGGAACCAAAUAAAACUUUAGCUCAGAAAAAAAACAAAAAAACAAACAAACAAACAAAAAAAACCAAAAAAAACCUUUAGGUCAGAAACGUAUGACUUUGAAGACUGAAUGCCUUGGCCCUGCAGGACGCUUCUCACGUUCACAGUUACAGUGUCUAGGAAAAACAACCAGAAGCCAAAAACAAUAAUCAUCCUCUACCUUGUGCAAGUCACCUGAAUGUCUGGUACUAUUUCCUCACCUGUGACAGAAAGGCCAUCCUAAAGUCUAUGAAGUGAAAAAUGUUAAUAUAUUUGUUAAAUGUGAUGGGUUAAAAUUUAGAGAUACACAGAAUUUACUAAAAAGACUACUGUCCUUGGGGCGGCCCCAGUGGCUCAGCGGUUUAGCACCGCCUUCAGGCCCAGGGCAUAGUCCUGGGGUCCCGGGAUCAAGUUCCCCGUCGGGCUCCGUGCA